ACUCCUACGGGAGGCAGCAGUGGGGAAUAUUGGACAAUGGGCGAAAGCCUGAUCCAGCAAUGCCGCGUGAGUGAUGAAGGCCCUAGGGUUGUAAAGCUCUUUUACCCGGGAAGAUAAUGACUGUACCGGGAGAAUAAAGCCCCCGGCUCAACUCCGUGCCAGCAGCCGCGGUAAUACGGAGGGGCUAGCGUUGUUCGGAAUUACUGGGCGUAAAGCGCAGUAGGCGGCUUUGNAAGUCAGAUGGCUGAAAGCCUGGAGCUCAACUCCAGAACUGCCUUUGAGACUGCAUCGCUUGAAUCCAGGAGAGGUCAGUGGAAUUCCGAGUGUAGAGGUGAAAUUCGUAGAUAUUCGGAAGAACACCAGUGGCGAAGGCGGCUGACUGGACUGGUAUUGACGCUGAGGUGCGAAAAGCGUGGGGGAGCAAAACAGGA
rnacentral:rRNA from 1 species